CAAAGUUUGUCAUAAUUCUUUAUAUUUCUCCUCUAUUUUGUCUAUAGAUGAGAGAUGAUAUAAUUACCACAAAAAACUCUUAAUAGUAUCAACAACUCAUCUAUUUCUUCCAAUCUCAAAUGAGUAAGGCGGCUAUUCAUAUCCUUGAUCAUUCAGAAGAACCCCUUGCUAGAGCAAUAAAUUAUACAGCCAUGGUGGUGUCGACAACGCAAGUUUAUUUCUUUGAAUCCUAAGAAACUGAACAUCCACCAAGAUUGAAGAUCCAUCCACUUGUGAAAGCAUGAUCCUCAACAUAAUUUAACCAAUUGACAUAUGUAUAUCCUUCUAAAACUGAAAGAUCUCCACGAUAGAUUAAACUAUAGUUAAUUGUUCAUUUCAAAUAUUUUAAUACUUUAUUAAUAACAUGUCAAUGUUCUUUACUUGGAUUGCAUGUAUACCAACUUAAUCUUCCAACAACAUAUGUUAUAUUAGGUCCGAAACAA